AACCACCUGCUAUGCAGGUGGUUCCGGAAAGCUUCCAGCGAGGUAUAAAAAAAGCCUCCUAAACUGAUAAGAUGAAGUAGGUUUCCCGACCACCACAUCAAAAAGUUUAGGAG
rnacentral:sRNA from 2 species